rnacentral:rRNA from 1 species
AUAGGGAGUCGGACCUGCCCAGUGAAUAAUUUUUAAACGGCCGCGGUACUCUGACCGUGCAAAGGUAGCAUAAUCAUUUGCCCUAUAAUUGAGGGCUAGUAUGAAUGGUUUGACAAGAAUAAAACUGUCUCUAUAUAAUUUUAUAGAAUUUUAUUUUUAGGUGAAGAAGCCUAAAUACUAUUAAAAGACAAGAAGACCCUAUCGAGCUUGAAAAGAAUUAACAAGUUAAUGUAUAUAUUGAUAAAACAAUAUUUGUUUAAAAUUUUGGUUGGGGCGACUAAGGAACAUUCAAAGCUUCUUUAAUAUAAAAUAACUACAAACAAGUAAAGAUCCAAAAUAAUUUUGAUUAAAGGAAUUAGUUACCGUAGGGAUAACAGCAUUAUCUUUUUUGAGAGCUCAUAUCGAAAAAAAGGUUUGUGACCUCGAUGUUGGACCAGAAUAUCCUAAAGAUGCAGAAGUCUUUAAGGGUUGGUCUGUUCGACCAUUAAAAUUCUA